rnacentral:snRNA from 1 species
GUGCGAGCUUCAGCAGCACAUAUACUAAAAUUGGAAGGAUACAGAGAAGAUUAGCAUGGCCCCUGCACACUUCAUGAAAUGUUCCAUAUUUUU